GGAGCUCCAUAGGUAUAGAAAUAUGGUAUAGCUAUGCGACUUGGUUUUGUGGUCAUCGCGCGGGUAUCCUGUGGUGUCACAAUCCAUCCAUCCAUCCAGUCAAUCGUGCAACUCCCAAGCCCCCUCGGUCUUACGUUUUUACGUAUUUUUAUUUUUUUUUACCGCCAUCAAAGUUCCUAUGUUCACAGCAAAAAAGGCAGAUUGAAAAUAGUAUUUAAUGAGAAAAUAUGCGGAUCCAAAUGGGCUGAAAUCUUUGAGGAACCGUUUUGUCUGAAGUACGUGCCGAAAGCAAAAUCUACCCGAGUGUUCGUGAAUCCCGUCCGUUGCAGCAGCAAAAAGAGGACUACUUAGAGGCUCUACACUACCAUUCUAAUAACAUUCCUUCACGUCUAUAUCUAUGGAGAUCUAUAAAGAGAUCCUGAGAAGAAAGGGCCUUGGAUUUAUGUUUUCAGCUAUAAAAAUAAUUCACUUGUGUCGACGAGUUUCUUGCUAGCAGAAAGUCGACAAGUUCACAGUUUACAACAAAAAGCGAACACAACCACACAAGCGACAAACAGAAAGCGACGAAAAACACUGCCAAGGCUAGUUUUGAACGACGGUUUGUAUUGAGAAUAUCACAGUUAUUUUUCUUUCAUUGUUGUGCUUUUAUAAUGCUCGUUUAUUCUAGUAUUUUAUUCCAAAACCAAUCGCUCAAGCUAAAACACCAUACCAGUUUGACGUCAAGAUGUCAUAUCAAAGUCAUCUAUCACUGUUUUGAUUGGCUUAAAUACCAUCUACUUGAAUUCCGAUCGGCUUAUAAUUUUGGAGUGCACUUGAGUGGUUUUCAUUCCACUGGCAAUCGCCAUGAAAAUGUUAAAUUCGUAAAUACUUACACGUUCUAUAAAUUCAGGCAUAUAUUCCUCACGGUAAGUUCGCUGGCGCGCUCUUCAGAUAAGGCAGUCACGCGCAAACCGACUCCUGAAAAUCAGCUGCUCAGCUAUCAGAUUCGCAGCCCAUUACUGCAGGCGUUCCUCAGCGCUCGAUUUUAGGUCCCUUAAUGUUUAUCCUGUUUAUUAAUGACUUACCACUUGAAGUCUCCAACAGCGCACUCGAGAUAUAUGCAGAUGAUACAACACAAGUCGCAAGUGGAAGUAGCGUUAGUGAGGUAAAACCAACCAAGGACUACCCAAGGGCCAUGAUUGAUGCUGAAGGCUGGGAGGCAUGAGAAUAGGCAAAUGUCUUAAAGAUAAUAAAGUAGGGGAUUUCUUACUUCGAUACAGCAGUAAAUGUGAAAUAGGCUUUUUUAAAGCAAAUACUUGCCCUCAAUGAUAGAUCUGAAAAAUUUUUUUCUAUCAACCUAAA